AAAUUGAAGAGUUUGAUCAUGGCUCAGAUUGAACGCUGGCGGCAGGCCUAACACAUGCAAGUCGAACGGUAGCACAGAGAGCUUGCUCUCGGGUGACGAGUGGCGGACGGGUGAGUAAUGUCUGGGAAACUGCCUGAUGGAGGGGGAUAACUACUGGAAACGGUGGCUAAUACCGCAUAACGUCGCAAGACCAAAGAGGGGGACCUUCGGGCCUCUUGCCAUCAGAUGUGCCCAGAUGGGAUUAGCUUGUUGGUGAGGUAACGGCUCACCAAGGCGACGAUCCCUAGCUGGUCUGAGAGGAUGACCAGCCACACUGGAACUGAGACACGGUCCAGACUCCUAGGUCCAGACUCCUA
rnacentral:rRNA from 1 species